ACGGGGACCCGCACAAGCGGUGGAUGAUGUCGGAUUAAUUCGAUGCAACGCGAAGAACCUUACCUACCCUUGACAUGUCCGGAACUUGCCAGAGAUGGCUUGGUGCCCGAAAGGGAAUCGGAACACAGGUGCUGCAUGGCUGUCGUCAGCUCGUGUCGUGAGAUGUUGGGUUAAGUCCCGCAACGAGCGCAACCCUUAUCAUUAGUUGCUACGCAAGGGCACUCUAAUGAGACUGCCGGUGACAAACCGGAGGAAGGUGGGGAUGACGUCAAGUCCUCAUGGCCCUUAUGGGUAGGGCUUCACACGUCAUACAAUGGUCGGUACAGAGGGUUGCCAAGCCGCGAGGCGGAGCCAAUCCCACAAAGCCGAUCGUAGUCCGGAUUGUUCUCUGCAACUCGAGAGCAUGAAGUCGGAAUCGCUAGUAAUCGCAGGUCAGCAUACUGCGGUGAAUACGUUCCCGGGUCUU
rnacentral:rRNA from 1 species